rnacentral:rRNA from 1 species
CUCCAACCCAAUGUGAACGUUACCAAACUGUUGCCUCGGCGGGAUCUCUGCCCCGGGUGCGUCGCAGCCCCGGACCAAGGCGCCCGCCGGAGGACCAACCAAAACUCUUAUUGUAUACCCCCUCGCGGGUUUUUUUUAUAAUCUGAGCCUUCUCGGCGCCUCUCGUAGGCGUUUCGAAAAUGAAUCAAAACUUUCAACAACGGAUCUCUUGGUUCUGGCAUCGAUGAAGAACGCAGCGAAAUGCGAUAAGUAAUGUGAAUUGCAGAAUUCAGUGAAUCAUCGAAUCUUUGAACGCACAUUGCGCCCGCCAGUAUUCUGGCGGGCAUGCCUGUCCGAGCGUCAUUUCAACCCUCGAACCCCUCCGGGGGGUCGGCGUUGGGGAUCGGCCCUGCCUUGGCGGUGGCCGUCUCCGAAAUACAGUGGCGGUCUCGCCGCAGCCUCUCCUGCGCAGUAGUUUGCACACUCGCAUCGGGAGCGCGGCGCGUCCACAGCCGUUAAACACCCAACUUCUGAAAUGUUGACCUCGGAUCAGGUAGGAAUACCCGCUGAACUUAAGCAUAUCAAUAAGCGGAGGA